rnacentral:rRNA from 1 species
GACGAACGCUGGCGGCGUGCUUAACACAUGCAAGUCGAACGAUGAAGGAGAGCUUGCUCUCCGGAUUAGUGGCGAACGGGUGAGUAACACGUGACUAACCUGCCCCUUUCUCUGGGAUAACGCUCCGAAAGGAGUGCUAAUACCGGAUACGAACUCUGAACACAUGUUCGGAGUUGGAAAGUUUUUCGGAAAGGGAUGGAGUCGCGGCCUAUCAGCUUGUUGGUGAGGUAACGGCUCACCAAGGCGACGACGGGUAGCCGGCCUGAGAGGGCGACCGGCCACACUGGGAAUGAGACACGGCCAGACUCCUACGGGAGGCAGCAGUGGGGAAUAUUGCACAAUAGGCGAAAGCCUGAUGCAGCGACGCCGCGUGAGGGAUGAAGGUCUUCGGAUUGUAAACCUCUUUCAGUAGGGACGAAGCGAAAGUGACGGUACCUAAAGAAGAAGCACCGGCUAACUACGUGCCAGCCGCCGCCGUAA